rnacentral:rRNA from 1 species
UUGAACGCUGGCGGCAUGCCUUACACAUGCAAGUCGAACGGUAGAGGGGCAACCCUUGAGAGUGGCGAACGGGUGAGUAAUAUAUCGGAACGUGCCCAGUCGUGGGGGAUAACGCAGCGAAAGCUGCGCUAAUACCGCAUGCGAUCUAUGGAUGAAAGCGGGGGAUCGCAAGACCUCGCGCGAUUGGAGCGGCCGAUAUCAGAUUAGGUAGUUGGUGGGGUAAAAGCCCACCAAGCCGACGAUCUGUAGCUG